AUGUCCGGGCGCACGACCCACAGGAAUGGCCUGCCGGAGAGCUCUAGGCCCAGCGCGAGCUCCUCGAAUUGGCGCCGGUGGAACAUGGUGAAGCUGCCGAAGGCGACGUACACUACGGAUCUCUCUGGCUGCGUGUCGAGCCAGGACAUGCACUCGUCGUCCUCCGGCUGCCAGAAGUGGCCCACGGCCUUGCCGCUGCGCUCGCCGGUGAGGAGCGGGCCAACGGGGAGGACGUUGGGGAAGAGUUUGAAAGACGCCGGCUCCGCGUCCUGGAAGGAGUUGCAGAUGACGAAGUCGCACUGCUCCAUUGCGCGGACGCCGUCACAAAGGAGCCGGUAG
rnacentral:rRNA from 1 species